rnacentral:rRNA from 1 species
GGCGCUUUGGGAUGGGCCUGCGGCGCAUCAGGUAGUUGGUGGGGUAAUGGCCUACCAAGCCGACGACGCGUAGCUGGUCUGAGAGGACGAUCAGCCACAGGGGUACUGAGACACGGACCCCACUCCUACGGGAGGCAGCAGUUAGGAAUCUUCCGCAAUGGGCGAAAGCCUGACGGAGCGAUACCGCUUGAAGGACGAAGCCCUUCGGGGUGUAAACUUCUGAACUCGGGACGAUAAUGACGGUACCGAGGUAAUAGCACCGGCUAACUCCGUGCCAGCAGCCGCGGUAAUACGGAGGGUGCGAGCGUUACCCGGAUUUACUGGGUGUAAAGGGCGUGUAGGCGGUCUCUCAAGUCCGAUGCUAAAGACCGGGGCUCAACCCCGGGGGUGCGUUGGAUACUGUGAGGCUAGACGGUC